rnacentral:rRNA from 1 species
AUUCCAGCUCCAAUAGCGUAUAUUAAAGUUGUUGCAGUUAAAAAGCUCGUAGUUGAAUUUCUGGUGGGAGUGUACAGUCCGACACUGAGUGUUGGUUCUUGUGUGUCUCCGGCCAUCCUUGGAGUGAAUCUGUCUGGCAUUUAGUUGUUGGGCAGAGUAUCUCCAUCGUUUACUGUGAGGAAAGGAAAGUGUUCAAAGCAGGCUUACGCCGUUGAAUCUUUUAGCAUGGAAUAAUAAGAUAGGACCUCGGUUCUAUUUUGUUGGUUUUCGGAAAUCGACUUAAUGAUUAAUAGGGAUAGUCGGGGGCACUCGUAUUCCGCCGAGAGAGGUGAAAUUCUCAGACCAGCGGAAGACGAACCACUGCGAAAGCAUUUGCCAGGGAUGUUUUCAUUA